AAGUCGUAACAAGGUUUCCGUAGGUGAACCUGCGGAAGGAUCAUUAUUGAAUAAGCUUGGUUGGGUUGUCGCUGGCUCUUCGGAGCAUGUGCACGCCUAACACCAAUCUUCUUACCACCUGUGCACUUUUUGUAGAUCUGGAUAUCUCUCGAGGAAACUCGGUAUUGAGGGCUGCUGUGCGUUAAAGCCGGCUUUCCUUACAUUUCCGGUCUAUGUCUUUAUAUACACCAUUUGUAUGUCUACGAAUGUUAUUAUAGGACUUUGUCCAAAUAAACCUUAUACAACUUUCAACAACGGAUCUCUUGGCUCUC
rnacentral:misc_RNA from 1 species